CCUACGGGAGGCAGCAGUGAGGAAUUUUGCGCAAUGGGCGAAAGCCUGAUGCAGCAACGCCGCGUGGAGGAUGACACAUUUCGGUGCGUAAACUCCUUUUAUAUAGGAAGAUAAUGACGGUACUAUAUGAAUAAGCGCCGGCUAACUCCGUGCCAGCAGCCGCGGUAAUACGGAGGGCGCAAGCGUUACUCGGAAUCACUGGGCGUAAAGAGCGUGUAGGCGGGUUAAUAAGUCAGAAGUGAAAUCCAAUAGCUCAACUAUUGAACUGCUUUUGAAACUGUUAACCUAGAAUAUGGGAGAGGUAGAUGGAAUUUCUGGUGUAGGGGUAAAAUCCGUAGAGAUCAGAAGGAAUACCGAUUGCGAAGGCGAUCUACUGGAACAUUAUUGACGCUGAGACGCGAAAGCGUGGGGAGCAAACAGGAUUAGAUACCCUGGUAGUCCACGCUGUAAACGGUGAAUAUUAGGUGUUGGGCUCGCGAGGGUUCAGUGCCGUAGGGAAACCAUUGAAUAUUCCGCCUGGGGAGUACGACCGCAAGGUUAAAACUCAAAGGAAUUGACGG
rnacentral:rRNA from 1 species